UAAAUAUCUUUCAGCUCAAGUUCUUUUGCCCAGCGCAAAAGAUAAGAGGGAACCAGGUGAAAAUCCUGGACGGUCCGGCCACUGUAUGGGGGAAGUUUUCUGCAAGGUACGCCACUGGAGAAUAUCCGGGAAGGCAGUGAGGAAGCGAUGACCCACAAGUCAGGAGACCUGCUUGGGCUUGAGGCAAUCU
rnacentral:ncRNA from 1 species